rnacentral:rRNA from 1 species
UACGGGGGGGGCGAGCGUUGUUCGGAAUUAUUGGGCGUAAAGGGCGCGUAGGCGGUGUGGUAAGUCUGAUGUGAAAUCCCCGGGCUCAACCUGGGAACUGCAUCUGUGACUGCAUCGCUGGAGUGCGGCAGAGGGGGAUGGAAUUCCGCGUGUAGCAGUGAAAUGCGUAGAUAUGCGGAGGAACACCGAUGGCGAAGGCAAUCCCCUGGGCCUGCACUGACGCUCAUGCACGAAAGCGUGGGGAGCAAACAGG